rnacentral:rRNA from 1 species
UACGGAGGGUGCAAGCGUUGUCCGGAUUAUUGGGUUUAAAGGGUGCGUAGGCGGCUUUUUAAGUCAGUGGUGAAAGACAACAGCUCAACUGUUGCAGUGCCAUUGAUACUGAAGAGCUUGAGUACAGAUGAGGUAGGCGGAAUUUAUGGUGUAGCGGUGAAAUGCAUAGAUACCAUAAAGAACACCUAUUGCGAAGGCAGCUUACUAGCUGUAACUGACGCUGAGGCACGAAAGUGUG